rnacentral:ribozyme from 1 species
UGCCCACCAACUUCUAUCCCUAUUUCCUCGCGGUACUGGCUGGGAUACGAGUAACCUGGGGGAAGAUCGAGUAACCAGCCCCGGUGGGAACUUUGGUCGUAUGCUGUUAGGGGGGG